rnacentral:rRNA from 1 species
AACCUUUACACUGCACGACAGUGCGAUAGGGGGACUCCGAGUGCGGGGGCAUAGAGCCCUCGCUUUUGUAUACCGUAAGGUGGUGUACGAAUAAGAACUGGGCAAGACCGGUGCCAGCCGCCGCGGUAAUACCGGCAGUUCGAGUGAUGGCCGAUUUUAUUGGGCCUAAAGCGUUCGUAGCUGGCCGAUCAAGUCUGUCGGGAAAUCUGCUCGCCUAACGAGCAGGCGUCCGGCGGAAACUGAUCGGCUUGGGACCGGAAGACUCGAGGGGUACGUCCGGGGUAGGAGUGAAAUCCUGUAAUCCUGGACGGACCACCGAUGGCGAAAGCACCUCGAGAGCACGGAUCCGACAGUGAGGAACGAAAGCUGGGGUCUCGAACCGGAUUAGAUACCCGGGUAGUCCCAGCUGUCAACGAUGCCCGCUAGGUAUGGCGCAGGCUACGAGCCUGUGCUAUGCCGUAGCGAAGGCGCUAAGCGGGCCGCCUGGGAAGUACGUUCGCAAGAAUGAAACUUAA